GAUGAACGCUGGCGGCGUGCUUAACACAUGCAAGUCGAACGAUGAAGCCCAGCUUGCUGGGUGGAUUAGUGGCGAACGGGUGAGUAACACGUGAGUAACCUGCCCUUAACUCUGGGAUAAGCCUGGGAAACUGGGUCUAAUACCGGAUAGGAGCGUCCACCGCAUGGUGGGUGUUGGAAAGAUUUAUCGGUUUUGGAUGGACUCGCGGCCUAUCAGCUUGUUGGUGAGGUAAUGGCUCACCAAGGCGACGACGGGUAGCCGGCCUGAGAGGGUGACCGGCCACACAGGGACUGAGACACGGCCCAGACUCCUACGGGAGGCAGCAGUGGGGAAUAUUGCACAAUGGGCGCAAGCCUGAUGCAGCGACGCCGCGUGAGGGAUGACGGCCUUCGGGUUGUAAACCCCUUUCAGUAGGGAAGAAGCGAAAGUGACGGUACCUGCAGAAGAAGCACCGGCUAACUACGUG
rnacentral:rRNA from 1 species